UCUGACCUUGCACGAGUGCGCCGCCGUGCUCACCGUCGCCGCCGUCCUCGUCGUCGCCGCGUCCGCAGCCGGCGCCGGCGCCGGCGCGAGUGCUACGGUGCUGUUCUUCCCCUUCACCCUCUUCGGCGCCGGCGCCGGCGCCGGCGGGGGAGGCGUCACCUUGAUGCCCUCGCAGUGGACCUGGAUGCCGAUCUUCUUCGUCUUGAGCCCGCCCACCCUGACGCCGGCGCUGGUGUCCGCGUCCACCACCACUGAGAACGCGCCGGACCUCUU
rnacentral:lncRNA from 1 species